rnacentral:misc_RNA from 1 species
AACGCACAUUGCGCCCUCUGGUAUUCCGGGGGGCAUGCCUGUUCGAGCGUCAUUACAACCCUCAAGCUCUGCUUGGUAUUAGGCCUUACCUGCUACAGGCAGGCCGUAAAAUCAGUGGCGGUGCCAUUCGGCUUCAAGCGUAGUAAUUCUUCUCGCUUCGGAGUACCGGUUGCGUGCCUGCUAUAAAACCCCAAUUUAUCAAAGGUUGACCUCGGAUCAGGUAGGGAUACCCGCUGAACUUAA